rnacentral:rRNA from 1 species
UCACUGCUAUCGGUGUUCGACUAAGCCAUGCGAGUCAAAUGUUCUUCGUGAACAUGGCGUACUCCUCGUAACACGUGGAUAACCUGCCCUUAGGACUGGCAUAACCCCGGGAAACUGGGGAUAAUUCCGGAUAGUUCAUGGUAGCAGGAAGCUCCAUGAUCGAAAGCUAUUGCGCCUAAGGAUGGGGUCGCGGUCUACCAGGUAGUAGUGGUGUAAUGUACCACUAGCCGACGACGGAUACGGGUUGUGGGAGCAAGAGCCCCGGAGAUGGAUUCUGAGCAUGAAUCCAGGCCCUACGGGGCGCAGCAGGCGCGAGU